rnacentral:rRNA from 1 species
CAAGUCGAACGAACUCUGGUAUUGAUUGGUGCUUGCAUCAUGAUUUACAUUUGAGUGAGUGGCGAACUGGUGAGUAACACGUGGGAAACCUGCCCAGAAGCGGGGGAUAACACCUGGAAACAGAUGCUAAUACCGCAUAACAACUUGGACCGCAUGGUCCGAGUUUGAAAGAUGGCUUCGGCUAUCACUUUUGGAUGGUCCCGCGGCGUAUUAGCUAGAUGGUGGGGUAACGGCUCACCAUGGCAAUGAUACGUAGCCGACCUGAGAGGGUAAUCGGCCACAUUGGGACUGAGACACGGCCCAAACUCCUACGGGAGGCAGCAGUAGGGAAUCUUCCACAAUGGACGAAAGUCUGAUGGAGCAACGCCGCGUGAGUGAAGAAGGGUUUCGGCUCGUAAAACUCUGUUGUUAAAGAAGAACAUAUCUGAGAGUAACUGUUCAGGUAUUGACGGUAUUUAACCAGAAAGCCACGGCUAACUACGUGCCAGCAGCCGCGGUAAUACGUAGGUGGCAAGCGUUGUCCGGAUUUAUUGGGCGUAAAGCGAGCGCAGGCGGUUUUUUAAGUCUGAUGUGAAAGCCUUCGGCUCAACCGAAGAAGUGCAUCGGAAACUGGGAAACUUGAGUGCAGAAGAGGACAGUGGAACUCCAUGUGUAGCGGUGAAAUGCGUAGAUAUAUGGAAGAACACCAGUGGCGAAGGCGGCUGUCUGGUCUGUAACUGACGCUGAGGCUCGAAAGUAUGGGUAGCAAACAGGAUUAGAUACCCUGGUAGUCCAUACCGUAAACGAUGAAUGCUAAGUGUUGGAGGGUUUCCGCCCUUCAGUGCUGCAGCUAACGCAUUAAGCAUUCCGCCUGGGGAGUACGGCCGCAAGGCUGAAACUCAAAGGAAUUGACGGGGGCCCGCACAAGCGGUGGAGCAUGUGGUUUAAUUCGAAGCUACGCGAAGAACCUUACCAGGUCUUGACAUACUAUGCAAAUCUAAGAGAUUAGACGUUCCCUUCGGGGACAUGGAUACAGGUGGUGCAUGGUUGUCGUCAGCUCGUGUCGUGAGAUGUUGGGUUAAGUCCCGCAACGAGCGCAACCCUUAUUAUCAGUUGCCAGCAUUAAGUUGGGCACUCUGGUGAGACUGCCGGUGACAAACCGGAGGAAGGUGGGGAUGACGUCAAAUCAUCAUGCCCCUUAUGACCUGGGCUACACACGUGCUACAAUGGAUGGUACAACGAGUUGCGAACUCGCGAGAGUAAGCUAAUCUCUUAAAGCCAUUCUCAGUUCGGAUUGUAGGCUGCAACUCGCCUACAUGAAGUCGGAAUCGCUAGUAAUCGCGGAUCAGCAUGCCGCGGUGAAUACGUUCCCGGGCCUUGUACACACCGCCCGUCACACCAUGAGAGUUUGUAACACCCAAAGUCGGUGGGGUAACCUUUUAGGAACCCAGCCGCCUAAA